rnacentral:rRNA from 1 species
UUGAAAAGAACUUUGAAGAGAGAGUUCAAGAGUACGUGAAACCGUUCAGGGGUAAACCUAAGAAACCCAAAAGAUCGAACGGGGAGAUUCAUCGUCAGCGGCGCUGGCUUCGCGUCGGUGGGCGAUGUCCCGCGGAGUCCUCGCGGCUCGCGCGCGGGCACGCUGCCGUGCGCUCGACGUCCGGCGUCGUCGUCGUGCACUUCUCCCCUAGUAGAACGUCGCGACCCGCUGGGUGUCGGUCUACGGCCCGGGUGCGGUGACUGACGCGUCGCCGGUAAAACGGCACGCGUCAAACCCCCGGUCGCCCGGCCGGCUGCCCGGCGGUACACGCAAGGUAUCAGGCCGCACUUUUUUUCGUAGAAACGCGCUCGCGCGCGCCCGUUCACCUCGGUGGGCGAGCGCGUGUGUGUCGCGCGCACGCGUGUGCGUCGAGGCCGUCGCAAGCGCGCGCCACGGUACACGGAGGCUUAACGGACCUAGCGCCGUCCCCGGUCCUGGCCCGCUGUUGGCCGCACGGUUAACCUUCGACAGGCCUUACGGGKCGACGUGGGGGGCGUUAGCCGUUNCCACCGCUCGACCCUGAUACCGGUCGGCGACGCUACUGCUUUGGGUACUCUUAGGACCCGUCUUGAAACACGGACCAAGGAGUCUAACAUGUACGCGAGUCAUUGGGACUUGUCGCGAGACCCAAAGGCGCAAUGAAAGUGAAGGUCGGCCUUGGCGCCGACCGAGGGAGGAUGGGCCGCGUCGCGAUGCGGCCUCGCACUCCCGGGGCGUCUCGUUCUCAUCGCGAGAAGAGGCGCACCCAGAGCGUACACGUUGGGACCCGAAAGAUGGUGAACUAUGCCUGGUCAGGACGAAGUCAGGGGAAACCCUGAUGGAGGUCCGUAGCGAUUCUGACGUGCAAAUCGAUCGUCGGAACUGGGUAUAGGGGCGAAAGACUAAUCGAACCAUCUAGUAGCUGGUUCCCUCCGAAGUUUCCCUCAGGAUAGCUGGCACUCGGCCGUUCCGCACGGAACGCGCGCGAGUCUCAUCUGGUAAAGCGAAUGAUUAGAGGCCUUGGGGCCGAAACGACCUCAACCUAUUCUCAAACUUUAAAUGGGUGAGAUCUCUGGCUUUCUUGAACGUUGAAGCCACGAGAAUCUCGGAUCAGAGUGCCAAGUGGGCCAUUUUUGGUAAGCAGAACUGGCGCUGUGGGAUGAACCAAACGCAGAGUUAAGGCGCCCAACUCGACGCUCAUGGGACACCAUGAAAGGCGUUGGUUGCUUAAGACAGCAGGACGGUGGCCAUGGAAGUCGGAAUCCGCUAAGGAGUGUGUAACAACUCACCUGCCGAAGCAACUAGCCCUGAAAAUGGAUGGCGCUGAAGCGUCGAGCCUAUACUCUGCCGUCAGCGGCAAGUGGGGCGGCCGCGCGACAGCCACCGGCCCGAAGCCCUGACGAGUAGGAGGGUCGCGACGGUGAGCGCAGAAGGGUCU